rnacentral:rRNA from 1 species
UACAGAGGGUGCGAGCGUUGUUCGGAAUUAUUGGGCGUAAAGCGCAUGUAGGCGGCCUCGUAAGUCGCGUGUGAAAGCUCCAGGCUCAACCUGGAAAGUGCGCGUGAAACUGCGAGGCUUGAGUGCCGGAGAGGGUGGCGGAAUUCCCGGUGUAGAGGUGAAAUUCGUAGAUAUCGGGAGGAACACCAGAGGCGAAGGCGGCCACCUGGACGGACACUGACGCUGAGACGCGAAAGCGCGGGGAUCAAACAGG